GCAGAUGCCAGAUGUCUGCUUUCCUUCGCUCAUCCGUGUACUAUCUCUCGCUGCCUCUCGAUUAUCUCUCGCCUUUGUCUAGUCUAUCUCUCUCUCUAUACAUCGAGAAACUCUAUCUAUACUGCUAGUGAAGUACUUAUCUGGAAAGCAUACAUAUGUAUACACAGAGUUCGGAAGAGCAAUUCGAGAUGGGUGAUCUAUUCAACUAUGCUUCAAAAAAGAUAAGUUUCUUUCUAGCAUCAGACGACUAAUCUGUGGUGGUUUUCAUAUGUUGCGUCUGUGAACUCUACUUCUUUUAGUAUUGUAAAUUUUUUUUAUGAAAAUUAAGAAUUAACAUACCUGUGUUGUAUUCUUCACACUUGCGUUUAGUAUUCUUCACACUUGCGUUUAGUUCUUGUGUGAAUUUUUUUUUUUUUUUUUUUUUUUUUUUGCUUUUACAUUCUUUUUACACUAUUGAUGUUGAAUGUUGACACAAUUCUGUUUUGUAACUCUACAGCAUGUACCAUGGCAUUGUGUCAGAAUAGUAUAUUGAUAGAAAAAUGUGUAAUGACUUGUAAGGUUAAUUUGCAUAUACUACCAUGCUAUAGCUCAAAUUUUUUAACAAAUGUUGAAGUCCUUAUACCCCUAUUUUGCUUUGACUUUAAUUUGCAGUCCUUGGUUAGAAUUCAAAAUAUUCUUGUAUGUAUUUUCCAAAACAGUCCUAUAUUUUAUGUUCUGGUCAAGUCUUAGAAAGUACAAUAAUCUUAGCAAUUGAACUUUUAGCUGAUAUUGAGUUAAUCUAAGUUUUCCUUUUUUUUUUUUUCUUUAUGUUGUAUGUCAAUGUUGUGUGCAUUUUUAUUUGCAUAUUACAUGUUGUAAAAAUUGUUUUAAAAACUGUCACAGAUACAAUAUGCACUUGGCAGUGCAUAUCGUAAGAAACUGUAUCCAAAAAACAACACAAAGAUACAUAGAGUAGUGCAUAUAGAUAUAUAAAUUACAGAAACAAUUUUGUAAUAAAUUCAAAUAGAAGAAAAUUAGAAAAUUAAAUUAGGCUUGUAGGCUUGUAGAAGGUUUUGAUAUAUGAAAUGUCUUCUUUAAUAAAACUAAGCCUAAAUAGAAUAUAAUUUGAGUAUAAAUCAUAACCACAGUAGGUCCAAACUAUGAGUGACUAAUGGCAAGAAGCAUGAAUACUCUAUACACCUGCUUCCUGUAGAAUGUUAUACACUGCAUAGUUCUUUGCUACAUAAGACUAUACACAAUGUUGUCCCCAACCAUUGUAUUUAAUUAUUAAAUACAUGUACAACAUAUAUUCUUUGCUUCUUAAUUUAUUUUUUUUCACUGAUUGCUUACCUCAACUUUCUAUGCCUGCAAAUCCUUAGGAAUGUCUUCCGAUGCUUCACAGUUCUUUUCAUCACAUUCAGAUAUCUAUUGCAUAGCCAUCCCUCUGCAAUUCUCCCAACUCAAAUGGAGGAUACUCAUUUCCAUGUAAAAAAAGAACUUAGUAAAAGUAGAAAUAUUGAAACCAUUAAAGAAACAAAAGAACAUAGUAAAAAGAAAAUUAACUUGACAUACUUGACCUUUAAUUCAGAUGCUAAAACACCAAGGUCUUUUAGGAAUGUUUGCAUGAACAUACGUGCACUAUAAAGAAAUAAAGAAUUAUUUUCUAAACACAGUUAAUUAUUUGCAGGUAUAGUAUAAUAAAAAUUACCUCCAUCUCGUGGAAGACACAUUCUUGAAUCUUUAUCAAAUCUGUGUUUAGAUCUUCAGGUGUUCUAUAUUGGAUGCUUAAUCUUCAAGAAAAUGUCUUCUUCCUCAUCGUGAAUGCUUUCCCAGCAUGCUAUAUGCAUCUCCACCAUUUUCGUCCACUCUCCAUCUUCAUGAAAAUGUUGUCUGAAUUGUGGAGGAACAGGGAGGUCAACAACACUAGAUUUGAAGGCAGACCCAAAAUCAUUAAAUCACACAGCAUGGAUAUUACCUGGAACACCAGAAAUCACACAGCAGACCAAUUAGUAAGCAAUGAAAUAUCCUCAUCAUUAAGCACCAUGGCUUUUGUAAGUGUAUACCUUUCCCAUCUCCUUGUGCGUCUGCUACAUCAUCUCCUCAGUAUCCUCCUCCACAGAAACGAAUAGUCUAAUACAAAAAAUUAGAUAAAUAAAUAGAAACCAAACAUGAAUAUAUAGUAGUAAUUAAACAAAAAAAAAACACUGAAUAAUUAGUAGAUAAUAUAGGUGAGAAGAAAUAGAAACCAAACAUGAAUAUAUAGUAGUAAUUAAACAAAAAAAAAAAAAAACACUGAAUAAUUAGUAGAUAAUAUAGGUGAGAAUAGAAAUGUUUCCAGAAAAAUGUGCUUUAGCAAUACUGAGAUCGCAGGUGUUCUCACCGUAAUCUUCAAGCACCUGUGUUUUAUCAAUACUGAGAUGACAUAGUAUCUUUGCCCAGAUUUUUGGUUCUUUGUUUGCAUACUUGCAGGUAGUUCAAACUGGAGAGAUGGUGAACUUGUGAGUGAUUAUUGAUAUCAAGCUUUAUAUAGAGACCGAAAUUUGUUUUUCAAUUUUGAAUAUUGUCUUGGAACUAUGAAGGCUGCUGGAAACGUUUCAAGACCCAAGAUUACAUUCAAUAGAUAAUGUUUUCGAAGCAUUUUCUCGUAUAGAGAUGUGUAACAGUCGUAUGUGUAUAUCUGUCUCUUUAUAUAUGUAAAUAAAUGUAGAUUAUAGGUUAGCUUCUCAAUGUAGAACUCUUUGACUAUUAGAAGUCUAUUAAUUUACAUCGGUAAUAGACAAUAUUAGGCCACAAUUAAUUCGGCUGUUGA